rnacentral:rRNA from 1 species
AUUGAACGCUGGCGGCAGGCUUAGCACAUGCAAGUCGAGCGGAGAGAGGUAGCUUGCUACUGAUCUUAGCGGCGGACGGGUGAGUAAUGCUUAGGAAUCUGCCUAUUAGUGGGGGACAACAUUUCGAAAGGAAUGCUAAUACCGCAUACGUCCUACGGGAGAAAGCAGGGGAUCUUCGGACCUUGCUCUAAUAGAUGAUCCUAAGACGGAUUAGCUAGUUGGUGGGGUAAAGGCAUACCAAGGAGACGAUCUGUAGCGGGUCUGAGAGGAUGAUCCGCCACACUGGGACUGAGACACGGCCCAGACUCCUACGGGAGGCAGCAGUGGGGAAUAUUGGACAAUGGGCGGAAGCCUGAUCCAGCCAUGCCGCGUGUGUGAAGAAGGCCUUAUGGUUGUAAAGCACUUUAAGCGAGGAGGAGGCUACUUUAGUUAAUACCUAGAGAUAGUGGACGUUACUCGCAGAAUAAGCACCGGCUAACUCUGUGCCAGCAGCCGCAGUAAAAC